GGUGCAUUAUGCCACCGGCAGAAAGGUAAGACAAGCUCAGAUUACUCUUGAAUGGUCAUUGGUUGUGCUUUUAGAUAUCGGCACCAGUAAGUAUAGCUGUAUAAUUUAUAGGAAUAUGUAAAGGAAGUGAAAUUGAAGUUUAAUUGUGCAUUCUUGAAUUCUGAUCACAGUCCAACAUGAGCAUCGUCCUUACAGACACUACAAACCAGCCAGAGAUGUACAUUGCUGUGGAUUCUACACCUAUGAUUAAAUUAUCCAAGAUGAGGAAAGGCAUCCGGGACUUCUUCUGGGGAAUCCAGAAGGCUUGGAAACGCUUGGUCACCUGCAAGUCCUCUGGGUCCUCUGAUGGGUAGCCUGGAUGACGUGCAGCCCAUGUCAGUUGCUUUUGCCAGGCUACAUCUGAGGAGGACACCACAACUGGCCUCAAUACAACAUUUGUAUUUUUGUUGUUCAUUUCUGUUUUCAUUUUGAAUCCCCUAAUGCUGCUAUAUUUGAACCAGGCUGUCAGUGGACUAGCUUACCAUUAGUUUAUACUCCUUAAGGAAUAUCCACUAUAGGCUACUCAACACCAAAAUUCCAUCUGGGUCUUUUGAUCCCUUUUUAGCUCCCACUCCUGUAACUAGGAAUGUGAGCUUCUAAAUGUCCUUCAGACAUCUACAGCUUCUCCUGUGAUUAGGAAGAUAAGCUAAGAAGCCCAACCAAUUGACUAGAUGUGCUGUACAUCUGAUGCCCUCUCCCUAUUGUAAUCAUUGAGCCACGUCCAUUGCAGCCUCUAAAUUUGAUGUAGAUAUUUAAGGCCGACAGCAGCUUCUACUCUUACGAUUAGGAAAGUGGUGCUAAACCUUUUGGGCUUUGAGGAACUAUGUAUUUUAUUUUUCAAUCACCUACAUACUUUUUAAUGGUUGUUUUAAUAAAGCAUUUGUAUUGCA